UGUUGCUCAUGUCUCACUUUC
ensembl:piRNA 21ur-9627 ncRNA